CUUCCAGGAGCCUAUGGGCUCUGUGACUUCUGAGCCUCUCCCGCCUCCUCCUAUUCGGUCUUCAGUUAACAGUUGAUGGAGCAGAUGGCAGCUGGAGUAUGGAGCAGUUGAAUGAGUCACAUGGGGAGCCUGUUGAAAACUCAAAAAUUGAACAUCAUAGAAGUCAGGCCUGCUGAGCCUCAACAUGAAGCCAUCCUUCCUGUUUCUGCAAUAGGGUGCUUAGUAACUGAAAUUGAUUUCAUUUUGACUUCUGGUGGUGUGCUGACCUUUGGAAGGCCUCUGCAGUGUUUGAAGCUAAAUUUGACUUGGCUUGAUCUUCAUGACUGCAGUAUUCGAAGGCUGAAAACAAAACUUAGUCUACACUAUCUCCCCUAAUUUAUUUACUCAGCUGUCCCUUCAACAUUCACACUUCGCUUCCUCUCACUAAGAAGUUUUGAUGUCUGCUUUUUCUGCACCUGUUGAUAGCAACUUAUCCCUAAGAUAUAUAAAGGGACCUUUUUAUCUUCAAGGACAUUUCUGCUGCCUCAUAUUGCUGCCACUAAUAGUGAAGGCUCAGAAAAGUUGAUAAACCUAGCACAUCAGUGUUUGCAUAAAGAAGUAAAGAAACAUACUUUGGAUUCCAAGUGAAUUGGACUAGUGCAUAUCAUUAACCAUCUUGGUACAGUGGUAUAUAAUAUACAAUUGGGAAAAAAAUCAAAAUAAGUACAUGUAUUUCAGUUAAAGUUAUUCAGUGGUGUAUGAAAUUUAAUGUAUUAAAUUUAUUUAAAAGCCACAGAAUGCCAAUAACACCAAUGGACUAAAAAACGAGUAGCUGUUAAACGCUGAUAAAGGAGAACAAGUGUUAAUUUGUAUUUGUUGUGUUUUUCUAUUUUUAAUAUAUUUGUGUGUCAUAAUAUUUUGACGUAGAUUUGCUUAUUGAGUUGUUUGUUUGUUUUUUGCUUUGUUAAGUAAACUCUUAAUUAUGAAAAUGUGUGUAACCUCCCUAACUGGUCUCUUAAGUGUGCAGAUAAUUCAAGCAUUACCAAACACACACCCAGAGAUACUAUGGUCAUUCAUAACCCUCCCAUUUGUUCAAAGAAAGCACAUUUCGACCCCCCCCCCAUUUGAUUGGCAAAUAUUUGAAUGACCAAAACAAAAUUGUCAAUGAUCAUAUGUGUAGUAAAUGGACUGAUAAUCAAUGGAUAUGUCCCACGUUGCCAGUCUUGAAAGAACCCUGCUUAUUCCAGAGCAACAGACUAUCCACAUGUUAUUGGGAUGAAUUGGAUAAUAGCACAACCAAACUAUAUUUUGAUUAAAUGAAUUGUGUGUGUGGUAGGACUCAAACAAAUUAUUUGACAAGGGAAAAAUGCUUUGUUUCCUCCCCUGCAGCAGUGUAUGUGUAAUGUCACUGUUAGUCAAACUCCACUUUUCACGUAUUAUUUCACAAAACAAAUAAUUCAAGAUAUAAAAGAUAACAAUUUGUUAAAUUUUAAUGUUUCCAUAGAAGUCAGUUAGACAGCCCUGCUCAAUCUUCUGAUGCAAAAUUUGCAAAUAACUCAAUUAACCACUGCCACUCGUAAUAGCACGUAAGUGCACAGUAUUUCUGUAUUGCAUGUAGGUAAAGAAAUCCUGAAAGUUUCAGAACAAGCCAAACAAAUGUUAGCAUAUCAUUGGUAUGACAUCUUCACAGGAUAUGCUCCUUCAAGGGACGGCUAUUCUUAAUAUCAUGCUGCACCCUAUAAUAAUAAAUUUGUUUCUCGUAAUGAAAAGUUUAUUUCUUGUCAUGUGUUAUGUGUGUUGUUGAAUAAAAUCAAUGUAUCCAAAACUUUAUGAACUGCAAUUGAAAACAAAAUAUCUCCUUAUCAGACAAAUGUAGUUUAUGACCCAUUCAUCACUGAUGUUUGAAGGGUCAAAGUGGGGACAUGUAGCAUGAACUGAACUAAUGUAGCUAACGUUAACAUAAAGUGUAGUAAUGGUAAAAUAUAACCAUGUUAGUCUUUUCAUGUAAGCAACUUGAAAACUCCAUUUUGUAUCCUUCUGCUUGACAUAAGUGAAUGAACUCUGCAUAGCCUUUAUAUAUUAGUGUGUGUAAAAGGGUGAAUGGUGAGAGAGUGGCAUAGAGAUGGGAGAAGAAGGUUUAACUGUUUAUAUAAGCAACAAGGCGUCAAAUGUAAGUUACUAGUCAGUAAACUAAUUAAUGAACGGCUGAAGCUCGAGGGCACAAAGAAAAUAACAGAAGAAGACAUUCUGCCAGACGGGUAACAAGAAUACUCCAAGGCUAAGAUAAGCUGAAGACAAAAGAAGAACAACUGCAAAAACAGAAGGUGGGUAUGGAAAAACCCCAAAGCACUGAAACAAAGGAUGCCAAGCCCUAUAAAAGAACACUUUGAAAAUGCCAAGUUGGGUGAGUCUCUUUCUCUACUGCUGUUUCAUUGGAGCACAGAUGCAUCUGUUCACCCUGCUCCAGCUGUUAUCUUAAAAUCUGCUAUCUUCAAAUCAUCAUCAUCUACUCAAUAAGCCUGGGUUGGCUACCCUGGGCUGAUAUUGAGCAACUAUUGCUGGUAACUAUAUCUGGUGUAUGUAUGGAUGAAAUGGUUGUUUUGUGUAUGUGUAUACCUGUGUGUAAUGAUGCGUAUGAUGAUUUGCGUGUGUUUAUAUGAAUGGUGUGCCUGAAUCUCUAUGUCUAACUCAUGUAAUCAGUAAACGCGGCACCUUGCC